rnacentral:lncRNA from 1 species
CGCAGGUGCAGUGGGCACGAGUGCAAGUGCAGUGAGUGCAAUGGGUGCAGGUGCAGUGGGUGCAGGUGGGCACCGGUGCAGUGAGUGCAGGUGCAGUGGGCAAAGGUGCGGUGAGUGCAGGUGCAGUAGGUGCAGAUGGGCACAGGUGCAGGUGGGCAUAGGUGCAGUAGGUGCAGGUGCAGUGGGUACAGGUGGGCACAGGUGCAGUGAGUGCAGGUGCAGUGGGCAAAGGUGCAGUGGGUGCAGGUGGGCACAGGUGCAGUGGGUACAGGUGGGCAUAGGUGCAGAAGGUGCAGGUGCAGUGGGUACAGGUGGGCAUAGGUGCAGUGAGUGCAGGUGGGCACAGGUGCAGUGAGUGCAGGUGGGCGCAGGUGCAGUGGGUGCAGGUGCAGUGGGCGCAGGCGGGCACAGGUGCAGUGGGCACAGGUGUAGUGAGCAAGGCAAAGGGGGUGCCCAGAGGAGGGCCCGAGUCCUGCUUCGGAUGGGGAGGCACAAGCAGCCGCAACACUCA